rnacentral:rRNA from 1 species
AGGACGAACGCUGGCGGCGCGCUUAACACAUGCAAGUCGAACGUGAAGCCCGGGCUUGCCCGGGUGGAAAGUGGCGAACGGGUGCGUAACACGUGAGCAACCUGCCCCGAAGACCGGGAUAACCCAAGGAAACUCGGGCUAAUACCGGAUACCCCCACCGGGUCGCAUGGCCUGGUGAGGAAAUGGAUUCCGCUUUGAGAGGGGCUCGCGGCCUAUCAGCUUGAUGGUGGGGUAAUGGCCUACCAUGGCACCGACGGGUAGCUGGUCUGAGAGGACGAUCAGCCACACUGGGACUGAGACACGGCCCAGACUCCUACGGGAGGCAGCAGUGGGGAAUCUUGCGCAAUGGGCGAAAGCCUGACGCAGCAACGCCGCGUGUGGGACGAAGGCCUUCUGGGUUGUAAACCACUUUCAGCAGGGACGAUUGUGACGGUACCUGCAGAAGAACGCCCCGGCCAACUACGUGCCAGCAGCCGC